ACCCUCGUAGUAUAGUGGUUAUAUACCUAGGAAGCCUGCUAGCUAUAACGCUAGAGUCGGUUCGAAUCCGGCCGGGGGCA